GUGAUCAGCACUGAGCAAAGAUCACUUACCAUGGACUUAUGGCCUAUUUGGCUUUUCCUUGCUGUUAUUUUAAGAGGUGGCCAGUGUGAGGUGCAGCUGGUAGAGUCUGGAGGAGGCUUAGUGCAGCCUGGAAAAUCCCUGAAAAUCUCCUGUGCAGCCUCUGGAUUCACCUUCCAUGAUUAUUACAUGAACUGGGUCUGCCAGGCUCCAGGGAAAGGCUUGGAAUGGGUCGCAGAUAUUAGUGGUGAUAGUAGCGACAUCGAAUAUUCUGAUGCCGUGAAAGGCCGAUUCACCAUCUCCAGAGACAAUGCCAAGAACACCAUGUACCUGGAAAUGAACAGUCUGAGGCUUGAGGACACAGACAUAUAUUACUGUACCAGAUUCACAGUGAUGCAAAGUUACUCUGAGAUCAGACACAAUCCUCCCUGCAGGGCACUUAUGGCCAGCAGGGGACGCAGAGAGCACCCAGAGGUCUGGGUCAGCUCAGGACUAUUCAAGCAUGGAUUCUACAGAAACCUGAAAAAAAAAACUGAUGAUUCCUCACUUAUGGCAAAGCAUCUGGAAGUUGCAGAAGGAGACAAGACUGCUCCUACAAAGCAAUUGCAUCUUCUCUGCACUGCCCUUCCAGCAUCAGGUCCAUACAAUUCUGGGAGGACUUUGUUCCUGACCAACAAGAAACCCAGACUUCUGUCAUGGUUAUGA